CGGAAUACGCGCGGGGAACACCAUCGCAAAUCAUUGCGACACCACUGUAUCAGACUUUUCCGGGCGCGAACGGCCCGCGCUGCGACCGUUUGUCUGCCCGCGCCUUACUCAACCGUCACAGAUUUGGCGAGGUUCCGCGGCUGGUCGACGUCGGUGCCCAUUACCACGGCCGUAUGAUAGGCCAGCAACUGCACCGGGACCGCGUACACCAUCGGCGUUACCGUGGCCGGCAUGUCGGGCAGGAUAAUCGUGACCAGCGAGUCGACGGUGGCUUCCU
rnacentral:misc_RNA from 1 species